rnacentral:rRNA from 1 species
GGCGAACGCUGGCGGCGUGCUUAACACAUGCAAGUCGAACGGUAAGGCCCUUCGGGGUACACGAGUGGCGAACGGGUGUGUAACACGUGGGUGAUCUGCCCUGCACUUCGGGAUAAGCCUGGGAAACUGGGUCUAAUACCGGAUAGGACCACUGCCUGCAUGGGUGGUGGUGGAAAGCUUUUGCGGUGUGGGAUGGGCUCGCGGCCUAUCAGCUUGUUGGUGGGGUGAUGGCCUACCAAGGCGACGACGGGUAGCCGGCCUGAGAGGGUGACCGGCCACACUGGGACUGAGAUACGGCCCAGACUCCUACGGGAGGCAGCAGUGGGGAAUAUUGCACAAUGGGCGCAAGCCUGAUGCAGCGACGCCGCGUGAGGGAUGACGGCCUUCGGGUUGUAAACCUCUUUCAGCACCGACGAAGCGCAAGUGACGGUAGGUGCAGAAGAAGGACCGGCCAACUACGUGCCAGCCGCCGCCGUAA